rnacentral:rRNA from 1 species
CACGAACGCUGGCGGCGUGCCUAAUACAUGCAAGCCGAGCGGAAGUUGGAGAGCUUGCUCUUCAACUUUAGCGGCGGACGGGUGAGUAACACGUGGGCAACCUGCCCUGCAGAUCGGGAUAACUCCGGGAAACCGGUGCUAAUACCGAAUAGUUUUCGCCACCUCCUGGUGGCGUACGGAAAGACGGUUUCGGCUGUCACUGCAGGACGGGCCCGCGGCGCAUUAGCUAGUUGGUGGGGUAACGGCCCACCAAGGCGACGAUGCGUAGCCGACCUGAGAGGGUGAUCGGCCACACUGGGACUGAGACACGGCCCAGACUCCUACGGGAGGCAGCAGUAGGGAAUCUUCCGCAAUGGACGAAAGUCUGACGGAGCAACGCCGCGUGAGUGACGAAGGUUUUCGGAUCGUAAAACUCUGUUGUGAGGGAAGAACAAGUACCACUUAACUACUGGUACCUUGACGGUACCUCACCAGAAAGCCACGGCUAACUACGUGCCAGCCGCCGCGGUAAUAC